UCGGAGGCAAAUCCCUGAUUCUGAAAGCAGAGACACGAUGGGGAGUUAUACGAAAGUAUGACGAACUCAUAGAUCCUACACUGCCAAGAAAAACUUCUAGUGAGAAAGUAUCCGCCCGUACCGUAAACCGACACAGGUAGGCGGGGAGAGAAUCCUAAGGUGCGCGGGAAAACCCUCGUUAAGGAACUCGGCAAAUUGCAUCCGUAACUUAGGGAGAAGGAUGACCUUAAGUAAGCGAAAGGGAGAAACCCCUGGAACAGAACAAGGUGGCAGAAAAGAGGCCCAAGCAACUGUUUACCAAAAACACAGGUGCCUGCGAAAGCGAAAGCUGAAGUAUAGGUGCUGACGCCUGCCCGGUGCUGGAAGGUUAAGGAGAGAUGUCAGAGCAAUCGAAGCAUUGAACUGAAGCCCCAGUGAACGGCGGCCGUAACUAUAACGGUCCUAAGGUAGCGAAAUUCCUUGUCGGGUAAGUUCCGACCCGCAUGAAAGGCGUAAUGAUUUGGGCACUGUCUCAACGAGGGGCCCGGUGAAAUUGAAAUACCUGUGAAGAUGCAGGUUACCCGCGACUGGACAGAAAGACCCCAUGGAGCUUCACUGCAGCUUGAGAUUGAAUCUCGGUGAUGCAUGCACAGGAUAGGUGGGAGACUUUGAAGUAUGGGCUUUGGCUUAUACCGAGUCGAUGUUGGGAUACCACCCUUGUAUUGCUGAGAUUCUAACACGGAGGCUAACAACCUCGUGGACCAUCUCAGGUAGGCGGUUUGACUGGGGCGGUCGCCUCCGAAAGAGUAACGGAGGCGCCCAAAGGUUCCCUCAGGUCGGACAGAAACCGACCGAAGAGUGCAAAGGCAGAAGGGAGCUUGACUGCGAGACAGACAAGUCGAGCAGAGACGAAAGUCGGGCUUAGUGAUCCGGUGGUACUGUGUGGAAAGGCCAUCGCUCAACGGAUAAAAGCUACCCUGGGGAUAACAGGCUAAUCUCUCCCAAGAGUUCAUAUCGACGGGGAGGUUUGGCACCUCGAUGUCGGCUCAUCACAUCCUGGAGCUGGAGUAGGUUCCAAGGGUUGGGCUGUUCGCCCAUUAAAGUGGUACGCGAGCUGGGUUCAAAACGUCGUGAGACAGUUUGGUUCAUAUCCAUCGCGGGCGCAAGAAGUUUGAGGGAGGCUGCUCCUAGUACGAGAGGACCGGAGUGGACGGAUCAACGGUGUACCAGUUGUCACGCCAGUGGCACGGCUGGAAAGCCGCAUCCGGAAAGGAUAAACGCUGAAAGCAUCUAAGCGUGAAGCCCGUCCCGAGAUGAGACUUCUCAUCAGCAAUGAGUAAGACCCCUUAAAGACGAUGAGGUUGAUAGGCUGUGAGUGGAAGGCCCGUAAGGGUUGGAGCGACGCAGUACUAAUAGGUCGAGGUCUUAACUUG
rnacentral:rRNA from 1 species